CCAAGACCUGCAAACAAACAAACAAAAAGCAUAAAUAAGGAGAUGGAGGGAAGGACAGAGCAGAGAGAUGGGAGUAGAGAGAAGGGAGGAAGAGGAAAAGGAGGAGAGACUAUUUGAAGCACUCAAUAAUCUAGGAGGUCAUAGAGGAUCUCUCUCUCUCUCUCUUUGUGUACUGACUCUAUAGAGCUGGCUUCGAAAGAGGGACAAAUUUUUUCUACAUGCAGAACAGAAAUAUGAUAGCUAUGUCUUACAUAGCGGGAGAAGAAUGCCUUCAACUUGUGUGUUGUCUUUCUUCUGUGUGGGUUCAAAGUACUCCACAAACAUGACAUCAUUACUCCCUGGAAGGACCUGUGGACCAACUCUCAGGAAAAGAAUCCCCUUUCAUUCAGGAGCUUGGGGAGCUCAAACACAGAUUAGUGCCCAUUUUGAGUUUAUGCAAAAUGUCUUCCAAGGAUUCAAUCUUAGCCCUUCUUAUAGGCGAGCACUCAUUAUUACUCAUGGGUGACUGGAAGAAGUCUAAGUGAGGUUUCUUGGUAAACUCAUACUUUAAAAAGGCAAACUGUGAUGUUUUAUCACUUUUUGCUUAUUUCUCCCCAAUGAUCAGUCUUAGUACUUCGAGUUAUUUAUCAGACAUCUUUGUUUUGAACAAGGCAAAAAUAAAGUGAGAACAAAAUGAGAUAGCAAGUAGCAUAGCACCCAGCAGGAUCCCCUGGGAUCAAGUCUGGAGUUUCAGAGCACAACCCAAGGAGGAGAGAAAAGAUACUAUCUGGUGUCCUCUUGCCAUCUCUCAGUAAAGCACAGUUGCUAAAACCCUGUUAACAACUUGAAGUGGACAGUGUAAGUGAGAGUUCUAGUUUUCAGUCACUAUAACUUCUUUUUUUCCCUUGUGUUGCAAGAAAAUGUCAGUCACAUCUUAGUCAAGUUGCCUAUGUUUUUCCUCUCUUGAUUCCCAUCCACCUCCAAACCCUUUUUUUCUCUUCUGCCUGCCUGUCUGAAAAUACCUUAGGAGUUCUGGCCACGGAAGGAAGUUCCUAGGAUAUGAAGAAAAAUGGAGCUGUUCCUUAUGGAUCUAAUAACAUUUCCUCAAGUCUAGUUGAUUUCAGGAGACAUUCAUUGGAAAAAUUAUCGGAACUGUUGCAGCAAGGGUUAUUUGGAAAUUGACAGUGAAAACAGGAACUAUUUAUCAGGUCAAAUUCUAUUCCAGUUUCCUUUGCCUCUGACCUGAGCUGCCUGGCGUUUAGUUUUUACAAAUGAGUCUGAUAGUCUGUCUGUCAGACAGAGUUAUUAUUCCAUUAGUGUCUUACUUUUCUUUCACUUUUUUCUUUUGUUAUUUUUUAAAUAAAAUUCAAUCUUAAAUUACAUUAAUAUUGUAUUUAAUGAACAAAUCGUGAUAGCCCACCUUUAUGGGCUAUAACAUGAUCUUUUAAUAUAAAUGUUGCAUGGUCAAAUCAAGGUAAUUGACCUCUCACUUCAUUUGCCUAUCACUUUUUAUGGUAGGACAUUUGAAAUGUCUGAUUCCAGUUGCGAAAUAUAAAAUAUAUUAUUUUGGUUUCUGCCCAAUUGGCUGUGCAAUGGAUGGUAGAAUGUUUUCCUUCCAUCCGUACCCUUUGACCAACAUCUUCCAUUGGCCCCUAACUCCCCAAGGCUCUGGAUAACCACCAGAUUCUUUGUUUCUUAAUUACCAAGGUGUCUUGGGUAGGAAACAGUACCACUCAGGUAAAUCUCCCUCAGCUAUAAAUACUUGUCCUGUAUUUAGACUUGACCCUGUGUAUACUGAGCAGCUGGUUGGCAAUGGUUUUCUUGUUGUUAUCUGGAUUUGGGGAAGACUCUGUUUUUCUCCCCAAAUACUAACAAUUAAAAGAAAAGAAAACCUCUGUGAGGCUACUGUGGGGGUACUGUAUUUAUUUGGACUGGAUAAGAAAGUGGUGUUACCGGCCGUGUAUUUAGAAUUGCACUGUCAAGUUUAUCUUCUCACCUGUUGUUGCUGUACACAUUAAUUAUUCUUGCUGAGAAAUGGUGAUGCCUCUCCUUCCAAAGGCUUAGUAAAUACUUUUGUAUUGGCCCCUGGAGCCUCCUCCCACCCAUCACGAUGAGUUCCUGUGCCCUCUUCCCACACAGAAUCUCAUGAUACAAUCGCAUAUCUUCUCAUACUUACCUUUGCUCUUGAUGCCUAGUAUCAUGUGGGAAGGGUUUGUGACAUUGUUGCCAUUGCAGACAUGUCCUCGUAUUUGGUAAAGUUGGGAUCACAAAGCAGCACUCUAUUUUUAAUCUUUUCUCUGACUGUGUUGAUAUUCCCCUAAUAUUCAGGGCCCUCCCUAGGAGGUUCCCAACAUGUACUUUAAAGGUCCUUUAAUGACAAAUGAGGGUACUUACUGUGCUUUCUUUAGCCGCCUAAUCCCUCCAAGGACCUAGACUCAUACCCAGCAUGUUGAAAGCAUGUGUGGUUCCAGUUUCCCGGCACAACAGCAGCACAGUCUUGGACUCUGUACAGCCACGUCUAUCUUUAACAAAUGUUGUUUCCUGGAAAGAAAUUAACGCUAACAUUUCAUUGUAUGCUAUAAUUACUGAAAGGGAUCCUGUGUGUGUUCAUUGCUGGAGACCAUGUGGAUCAGGCACCAAUCUUAUGUUUAUACUCUGAUGGGUGAGAUUGGAGGUUCCGUUUCUGUCCUAUGCUUUCUUCCUGGAGACACCCCAGUAGAGGUGGCAAGCACUGAUUUUCUCUGUUCCAGAAGCCACUGCCAUUCUUUUUGAGAUCUGCAUUUGCCCUCAGAGCAGUUGUAUCUGAACUAAGCCUGAGAAAUGCUCGAGAGAGCCAUCCUGCCUGAAUGUGGAAUGUUCUCCAAAGAUUCUGAGAUGGUCCUUGAGCAGAGUGCUUCGGUGUCCAGUGUCAUCCGAAGGAGAAGGAAGCAUGGCCUUGUCAGAGCAAUAGGAAUUUCUUUUGUGUGUAUGUAUGUGCACGUUUAUAUGCAGAUGCCCAUGUGUGUACAUGUAUGUGCAGGCCAGAAGUUGACACCAGAUGACCGCCUCUGUAACUCCCCAUCUUAAUAUUCUUUUAGGGGAGAAAGCGUUUACUUGGCCUUAUAGUUCCAGAGGGGACACAGUCUAUCCUGUUGAGGAAGACACAGCGGCAGGGGCAGGAAGCCAAUCUGACUGUCAGGAAGCAGAAACCUCCGUGUUGUUUAGUUGUUUGUUUAUUGAUUUAAGUUCUAGAUUGUUCUCCAUGCUUUUAAUUUACAUUUUUAAUUGCUUUGAGAAUUUUGUAUAUAAGACCUGUAUUUACAUCACUUCUACCCUUCCCUCUCAUCCCUCCAGUUCCUUCCAUGUCUCCCCCAAUUCUCUCAAGUUUAUGGUCUCUUUUGUAAUUAUUAUUGUUCUCUAUCUAUGUAUCUAUAUCUAUAUACACCUACAUGCUUGUAUUUGAGACUAAGUCUCUCAUGGAACUUGACAUUCACUGGUUAGACCAGCUGGUCAGGGAGUAACAGGGGUCUGCCUCUGUCUCCUCGGCCCCACUAAUACAGAGGCACAUGACCAUGAACAGUUUUUUAUGAGAGUGCUGGUGUCCAAACUCUGGUGCUCAUGCUUACAGAACAGGCACAUUACCCAUCGAGCCAUCCCCCCUGCCCUGUAAUGUGAAUUUCUAGCGCUAAUGGGACCUUUGCUCUCCUACCACAGUGAGAAAAAUCCUGGUAAUUGCGCUCUUGGAGAAAAGAAGCCCUUCCCAGCUUUGCAAGACCUUGAAGUUCUGGAAUUAAGGACAUAAUAAGUCCAUGGUGUUUAAUGAUUCAUUAUUGAAGUUUGUAUCAUCUACAUACAAAUUCACAUCACUUGGACAAGGACCAUUAAUAAUUGAGCUAGAAACAAGAGCUUGUGUGUCUUUGUGAGUUUGUGAGUGUGUAUUAUAAAAAUUUGGAGCCCAUAUUGAUUACAAUAUGUUUUCUGCAUUCUAAGUAUUAGUAUCUGUUUGUCCAGAGGGUGAGUCUAGUUAUUUGGAGGGAAAGAAUAAAUUGCCAAAGUGUUGUUUGUUGUAGAAGGGGCUUGUUUUCAGCACCUUGGUGUGGUAUGACCUGAGCUGCCAUCUGGACUCUAAAGCUGGGGUUUUUAAUCCACGCUUUGUCAUUUAUGAGCUCCACACCCUUUCAAAAGGUCCUUAACUCCUUCUGGGCCUCACUUUAGUUUAACCGGGAGCGAUGAUUCCUGUCUCUACAUCUGGUGAGGUUUUUUGCUGUGACUAUGUGUUGAUAUUCUGAUUUCUGAAUCCUAGAAAAGGUUGUAAAAUAAAAAGUAAGUAAAUUUGCACAAGGAAUCUAGCAGUUCUCCUUGGGAGAAAGGGACCAAGAUCUCAAUCCCCAUUUGCAAAGGCAGGUCGCAGCAAUCUUCAUGGUGGAAUCGUGAUGUGGACCAUAAGUCUACCUGAAGGUGUCUGUCCCAGAACCAGAGUCGUCUGUGCUUCCGGUGAGCAAUGCUAGGGCUUGUCUUGUUACAAAACAACAGAAGAAUCUGCCCGGAGCUCAGAGCUUGCCCUUGAGGCUUUGGAGGGAUACAAACAUGCAGAUCACUGCAGCUUCAUGGCCCAAGUCAUUUAAUAAAGAACUUUUUAUAGUCUCAGACACAUGCUAAGAACCUGCUCCAUUUAAUUGCUAUUACUUAUGUUAAUGUAGUCAUCUUUGGAAGCUUGCUGAUGUAUUUUACUGUUUGUUUGAACAGAGACUAAGAUAGCCAAGGCUAGCCUUGAACUCCUGACCCUCCUGUUUCUACCUCCCAAGUACUGGGAUGGCAACAUGCACUACACCUUCGCUCAGGAAGCCUGUUCUUCUGAGGGAAGUCAAUCAAAACAGAGGCUACACAGACUAACUCUGUCACAAGUUGUGGCUCCCUUCCAGCACAAAGGGGUGGAAUAUAUAUAAAGUACUGAAAAACAGUACUUUAGCGAAGAAAAAACAAGGUAACUCCAGAUCAUAUUGUACGGAAUGUUUGGAGCCUGAAAAUAAACAUACGUCUUAUUCAUCAUGCUUAGUCAUGUCCACUGUUGCAGCAAUUGCUCUUGUUUGGGGGUGGCCUCUCCCUGCACAUCUGAGACAGGCCUCAGUCCAGCGCCCCCAACCUCAGUCUCCUGAGAGCCAGGGUCACAGACGUGCCGCCACUCCUGACUUUAAUAGGGUUCGCUCUUAAUACUUCAUCCUGAGUUCCAACAGAACCUCUGAGUCACUGCACCAUGCAGUAACCUUUACGGCAGUGGUUCUUGGCCUUCCUAACACUGUGACCCUUUAAUGCAGUUCUUCAUGUUGUGGUGACCCCCCCAACCAUAAAAUUAUUUUCUUUGCUACUUCAUAACUGUAAUUUUGCUAAUGUUAUGAACUGUAAUGUAAAUUCUGUGUUUUCUGAAGGUCUUAGGGCAACCCCUGUGAAAGGGUCCUUCAGUCCUCCCCAAAGGGGUCAUGACAUACAGGUUGAGAACCAAUGCUUUACGGGAUGGAAGCUGUCCACAAAGCCUUCAUGGAGCUCUGGGUUGCUAUUUAAUGCUUGGUUCCCUCCAGCUCAGCAGACCUGGAAUCUAUCACUGUGCUGAGGAAGGCACUUAGAAGAGGAAUUCUUAUGACUCACCUAAGUGUUCCCUGCUAAAGAAGAUGCAGGCUGUGCCCUUUCUGAGGAAUGAGGGGAAGUUCUGGUCACAGGAGGCCAUCAUUCCACAGGUUUCCAGGACCAAUCCAUACAAGAUGCAGCCAAGCCAUGCAGUAUGAGACCAAGCCAUGCAGUGUGAGACCAAGCCAUGCAGUGUGAGACCAAGCCAUGCAGUAUGAGACCAAGCCAUGCAGUAUGAGACCAAGCCAUGCAGUGUGAGACCAAGCCAUGCAUUGUGAGACCAAGCCAUGCAGUGUGAGACCAAGCCAUGCCUUGUGAGACCAAGCCAUGCAGUGUGAGACCAAGCCAUGCAGUGUGAGACCAAGCCAUGCAGUGUGAGACCAAGCCAUGCAGUGUGAGACCAAGCCAUGCAGUAUGCAACCAAGCCAUGCAAUUUGAGAUUAAGUCAUGCAGUAUACCUCAGAACAGUGAGCUUAUAUCUUUCUGAUUCUCUUUUUGUAUAUGCCUCCAUGUCUGAGAAACCCUGACUUGGCUGAUAUGGGCCUUCUUUAGGUAUGUUAAGAUCUUUGAGGUCUUGUCUCCACUGGCUGGCAGUAGUGCCUAGUUAUGUUAAAGUAACAGUGCAGACUGUGGUUAUGAGCCAUUGUAUCCUGUUUUUAGGUGAUGCCUUGGUACAGUCCUAGUCCUUUAUGUCUGUGUUCUUGAAGGGUCUGCUUCUAUCCAGGAAUCCCAAGUCACCACGUGCUGGUAACUUCAUGUACAUGGGGUUAUACUUCAUACAUCAAUUCUGUUGGGGAAUCCUAGUACUACGUCUAAAAUACAGGUCUCAAUUUCACCGACUUCUCUAGCCUGUCACUCUAUCACAAAACCCCAGUUUUAUCCACUCCAGCACUAUAGUAGUAAUUAGUAUUUCCCACCCGCCCCUAGAUAUAAAAACAAAGCCAUUAAUAGAGAAUAGUCUUUUUUUUUUAGAGACAGUUUUCAGAGGUAACAAAAUCAGAGGAUACUCAAUUCCUCAUAGGUGUUGUAUUUUCAUAUAACCUAAGUGUAUUCUCCCUUAUAUUUUAAAUAGCCUCUUUUAUAAUGCCUAAUAGGAUAUUAGUUCUCUAUAACUACUUGAAAUAAUGCAUUGUUUAGGAAAUAAUGCCAAGGAAAGGCUGUUGGUCUUUAAUAUAAUGCAUUUUUUCCAAAUACUUUUGAUGUGUGGUUGGUUGAGAUAGUAGACUUGGGACCUAUUUAAGGCCAACAGUGUAUGUAGUUCAGGUCCAUAGCUGUAAUGGUUAAGGAUGAGAGUCAAAUAAUGAACCACAGGGGAGAUACAGGAUGUUAGACAUUAAAUGUUUAAUAAUUUCAUCAACAUGCUUAUCAGUGGUUUGCUGGCCUGCACCAGGAAACCACUGGUUUGGCUCUUGUUAAGCAAGAAAGGCACUGGAGAACAUUCAAAUGCUCACACAUUGCUUUUUGUUGCUGUCUUAUUGGCUUUGGCAGAAGUGGAACCACGGCCAGGCUGACUGGGACAGCUGCUCAACCCUUGAAUAUACUUCCGGUUGACGCCAUAGUUACCAGGUCUUUCUGUGUUGUCCGGAAGUAGAUAACCCCAGUGGACUUCAUCUCCGAAUGGGCAAUAUCAAUUUGUAUUGCUGCUGUUGGGCUAUUGUUUAUAUGUAAAUGAUUCUCCUGUUUUAACCUAGAUAGCUGCUGCUCAUAAAAAUGUCCUGACUAAGCCAGGCAGAGGUGGCACAUGUCUUUAAUCCCAGCACUUGGGAGGCAGAGGUAGGCGGAUUGCUGUGAGUUCAAGGCCAGCCUGGUCUACAGAGCGAGAUCCAGGACAGGCACCAAAACUGCACAGAGAAACACUAUCUCGAAAAAAAAAAACAAAACCAAAAAAAAAAAAAAAAAAAAAAAAGAAUGUCCUGGCCAGGUAGUGGUAGCACAAGCCUUUAACCCCAGGAGGCAGAGGCAACUUAAACUCUAUGAGUUCGAAGCCAGCCUGGUCUGCAGAGUAGGUUCCAGGACAGCCAGGGCUGUUAUGCAGAGAAACCCUGUCUCCAAAAACAAAAGAAGAAGAAGAAGAGGAAGAGGAAGAGGAAAGUAAAUGUGAAGUACUUUAUAUCCAAAGUAGAUAUUCCUCUCUAGGUAGCUCUGGCUGGCCUAGAGAGAACUAUCUAUGUAGACCAGGCUGACCUCCAACUCAUAGAGAUCCACCUAUCUCUGCCUCCCCAGUGAAUGGUGAGAUUAAAGGCCUAUGCUACCAUGCCCAGCCCUAGGUGGAUAUUUUAAAGCUCAUGCUGGGACCUAGAUAUUGAAUAAAAUAUAGAAAGUCCAUGCUCAGUUGGCACAUAAUUUGUUUCUUUAAAAAAAACUAGUUCUGGUGGCUAUUGCAACACUGUGAGGUGGACAUCUGAACAGAGCGCCUAGCCUGCUGGGUGCUGUUCCAGUUCUGUAUUCCAGUCGCUGGACUCCAUUUCCUGUUCUUUUCCUCCCAUUUUCAAUCCCAUUUUUCAUUUUUUUCUUCCAGCUUACUGGAUGUUGGAUUAUUAACACAGAGUUUCUCGUAGUUCAGCUCAGUCCCAGGAAGUUGUUCAGAGAACAUGCUGCAGUAAACCCAACAUGGAGUCACCCCUGACCUGCAGUGUUAUCAUGUCUGACUCACUUCCAGAAGAGAGAACCACCUCCUGUGACCUCUUCCCCUGUAUUUCAGGCCAUAAAUAGGUGCUAGGGCCCUGCCAAGUUGGGUUGCUGUGGCUCGUAAGGGACUGUCAGUUCCUUACAAAUACUGCACAGCUGCAAGGUUCCUAUGCCACCCAAGGUGACUCAUCACAUCUGCUUCUCUUAAAAGGGGAAUACGAGCAGUGUCACCUCUUGGCUGUCUAUCAUGAUAAUGCAAUUAUGAGCUUUCUCUUUGCUGGCUGCUCAGAGAAGUCCUCGGUAACCAAACAGGACAUCUGGAGAACCUAAUGCUAGCUUACCUAACCAAGACAAGAGGCAGUUAGAGUGGAAUUUCUGAAUAGUUUUAUUAUAUUUGAUUUCAUUUAUUUACUUAUUUAUAGGGGAAGAGAAAUAGGGUCUUACAAUGUGAUUCUGGCUACCUUGGAACUCAGAGAUCUUCCUCUCAGAUGCUAGGAUUAAAGGCAUAUGCCAUCAUGCUCAGUUACUUAAUUUUAUACACACACACACACACACACACACACACACACACACACACACACACACGGGAGUGGGGGCGAGACAGAGACAGAGACAGACACAGAGAGGGGCAAGUUAUUUUAAUGAAUUGCUCACAUCAUUAUGGAGCCUUGCAAAGCCAAAUUUCUGCAGGGCAGACUGAGAAUUAGCUCAGGCAAUCAUUUCAAGUGCAGUGUGGAAGCAGAAUUCCUUUGUGAGAGAUCUCAGCCUCUGAUCUUAACACCUUUCAUGGAUUCUGAAAGACUCACCCAUGGACCUAUCUACCCACAGACCCACCCAAGGACCCUCCCAGCCCACAGACCCACUCAUAUUAUGGAGAAUAAUCUGUUUUCCUGGUUAUAAAAUAUACCAGCUAUGAGCGUUAAAUAUAUCUACAAAAUACCGUGACCCCUUUAUUUAGGCUAGUCUAAAUAAACCACUGGCCACUGUAGGUUAGGCAAAGCUGACACAGAGAACUGUCUCACUAAUGUAUCUGAAAGAAGCAAUCUGAAUCCUUUGUCAUGUCAGAGGAGAACAAUUCCAGUGAAGGUAACUAGUCACCACCAAAGCCCUCCAGGUUCUUGGUUCAUCUUGUGAUGAACCGAGAUGAUGAAAUAUCCUUCACAGUCUCAGGGGUUUGAACACUUGGUCCCAAAUUAGUAUACUGUUUAGAAUGUAAGGCCUUGCUGGUGGAAAUAUAUCACUAGGGAUGAGGAGAAAUAGGAGUUGAGAAUACAUAGCCUGAUCUUAUUUCCAAUUGACUCUACUUCAUGCUUGCCGUAGAAGAUGAAACCUUUCAGCUUUCUGCUCCCGCUGACCACCUACCACCUGCUGCCACGCCACCCUCCACGAUGGACUCAGCCCUCUGGAACUGUAAACCCAAAUAAACUCUUCCUUCUAUAA